AAACAAGUUUUCUGCAACAAUUCUGUAUAUUAGGAUAUAUUUACCUACUAAUCAAGGCACCAAUAUUAUCUCUCGUUCUUAUUAGUCUUUUCAAUUUGCAAUUGUACAUUUCUAAAGAAAACGCAAUGAGGAAUUUCAUAUUUACAUCAAGUUAUUACAUUCAUCUCCUAACUUGAAAGCUAUAAAUGUUGAGCAGGAUGCAUUUCAUAAUGCCUACUGGUGCUUUGACG
rnacentral:lncRNA from 1 species